rnacentral:rRNA from 1 species
AUUGAACGCUGGCGGCAGGCCUAACACAUGCAAGUCGAACGAGUGGCGGACGGGUGAGUCAUGUCUGGGAAACUGCCUGAUGGAGGGGGAUAACUACUGGAAACGGUAGCUAAUACCGCAUACCAUCAGAUGUGCCCCGAUGGGAUUAGCUUGUUGGUGGGGUAACGGCUCACCAAGGCGACGAUCCCUCGCUGGUCUGCGAGUAUGACCAGCCACAAUGGAACUGAGACACGGUCCAGACUCCGACGGGAGGCAGCAGUGGGGAAGAUUGCACAAUGGGCGAAAGCCGGAGGCAGCCAUGCAGAGUGUAUGAAGAAGGCCUUCGGGUUGUAAAGUACUUUCAGCGGGGAGGCGUUACCCGCAGAAGAAGCACCGGCUAACUCCGUGCCAGCAGCCGCGGUAAUAC